CACACACACAGAGGCCCCACACCUGCCGUCACACACAACUCUCCACUAGCUCACACCCAGCCACACCCCAGACCAGUCUGGCGGGACAGUUAGACUGCCACACCUCAGAGGGACAUAGCCCUCAGGGAUGGGGACGCUGGACAGGGCAGCACAUGUCUAGUGCCAGCCGCCCCUCCCUUCAAACCACACCCUGUCCCUGCAACACCCAGUGUCGGCUGUGCAAGGGGUACCUGCCUUGGCCCCUCUCACCAGAGCCCUGUUCAGGUCUGCCCAGCUGGAGUAGAUGUCCAACAUCGGGGAAACCCCCCCUUGCCUGGACGGAAGCCCGUGUAUGAAUGGAGGUCGCUGCACCAGCGCCCUCCCGGGAGGCUGCCUGCCUGUGAGUGCCUGGCUCCGAGCCAUCAGUGGGUCCUGUGUGGGGAGGUAGUCUGUCUUCUCCUCUGGCCUCUGUGUCCACCAUGGGUGUCUCUACCAUUUCCUACUUGUGUAUGGCUUGGGUAACCUCUUGUUUCCCCACUGGAAUCGAGCAGGGUUAAGAACUGAGUAAGGUUAAGAGCAAGGGCUCUGCAGGCCGCCUGGCCUGGGUUCAAAUCCCACAUCGUGUUGCUCACUGCCUGGGACUCAAACCCUUUAAGCUUCAGUGUCCUUGUCUGGAAAACAGGCACACUAACACCUGCUUCACAGAGUUGUUGGCCGCCUGAGGUCACACGUAAAGCCUCUGAUGGAGGUAGUUAUUAUUCAAUUAACAGAUCUUCAGGGACCAAUCACAGUGGCUUGGCAGUACAGGGUACCCCAGCUGGAUCCUCCCAUAUAUCAACAUUUAGUGGUGGGGGCACAGUGGUGGUCAUGGGGGUGCCAUGACCUUGGGUUAGUCACUUCUCUCUGAAUCUCACUGCAUCUGUGAAAUAGGGGUGCUUCUUUGUGGCUUGUGACCAUGAAGGAUUUCAAGAAUUCGGUUGUUGGAUCAUACAAGGCAAGGCAGAGGGCUGGGAGGAGCAGAGCAGGGUCUGGGAAAGAACUGAGCAGAGGGAGACAGAGCUCAGUUUGAAUUCUGGGCUCCGGGAGGGGCACCUGGGUGGCUCAGUCUGUUAAGCCUCUGACUUUGGCUUAGGUCAGGACCUCCAGGUUCAUGAGUUCAAGCCCUCAUCGGGCUUGGUGCUGACAGCUCAGAGUCUGGAGCCUGCCUGCUUGGCAUUCUGUGUCUCCCUGCCUCUCUCUCUCUCUCUCUCUCUCUCUGCUCCUCCCCC
rnacentral:lncRNA from 1 species